CCUGGCUCAGGAUGAACGCUGGCGGCGUGCUUAACACAUGCAAGUCGAACGAUGAAGCCCAGCUUGCUGGGUGGAUUAGUGGCGAACGGGUGAGUAACACGUGAGUAACCUGCCCUUAACUCUGGGAUAAGCCUGGAAACUGGGUCUAAUACCGGAUAGGAGCGUCCACCGCAUGGUGGGUGUUGGAAAGAUUUAUCGGUUUUGGAUGGACUCGCGGCCUAUCAGCUUGUUGGUGAGGUAAUGGCUCACCAAGGCGACGACGGGUAGCCGGCCUGANAGGGUGACCGGCCACACUGGGACUGAGACACGGCCCANACUCCUACGGGAGGCAGCAGUGGGGAAUAUUGCACAAUGGGCGCAAGCCAGAUGCAGCGACGCCGCGUGAGGGAUGACGGCCUUCGGGUUGUAAACCUCUUUCAGUAGGGAAGAAGCGAAAGUGACGGUACCUGCAGAAGAAGCACCGGCUAACUACGUGCCAGCAGCCGCGGUAAUACGUAGGGUGCGAGCGUUAUCCGGAAUUAUUGGGCGUAAAGAGCUCGUAGCGGUUUGUCGCGUCUGUCGUGAAAGUCCGGGGCUUAACCCCGGAUCUGCGGUGGGUACGGGCAGACUAGAGUGCAGUAGGGGAGACUGGAAUUCCUGUGUAGCGGUGGAAUGCGCAGAUAUCCAGGGAGGAAACACCGAUGGCGAACGCAGGUCUCUGGGGCUGUAACUGACGCUGAAGGAACGAAAA
rnacentral:rRNA from 1 species